CCCUCUCGUCCUCAGGACCCGCUGUCUAUGACUCAGGAACACAUGGGGCCACGUCCGCCAUGACAGGAGUCCAGCUUCCUCAGGACCCGCUGGAGGACCCUGGAGGCGCUGUUCAGAGUCACUUUCACCUCAGCAGGACUACUCAGAACGACAAGCAGUUUGCAUUUUGUAAGGAGUCAUCUGGUUCAUUCAUUAUCUAUUGCUGAAAAAAAAUCACUUCAAAACGUUGUGUCUGAAAAUAACAAGCAUGGAUCAUCUCUGGAGAAUUCAAAUGGAAUAAAAGGGCACCCAAGAAAAGUAAAAUCUUUCUGUCCCAGGGAUCCAGUUCCAUCUACCUAUCCACCUACCCAGAGAUAAGUAUAUUUUACUGUUAAAAAGAUUUCUAAGUGUAAAUAACAAAAUUUUUGCCUUUUUGUUUUGAUAAUUUCAGAUUUACAAAAAUAGUACCAAAAAAACCCACAUACCCUUCACCUAAACUUCUCAAAUGUUAGCAUUUUGCCACAUUUGUUUUAUUAUUCUUUCUCUCAUAAAUAUAUAAUUUUCCUCUCUUACUCUCUCAUACACACAUACACACAUACAUAUCACAUGCACACUUUUUUCUGAACAAGUUGAGAUUGGAUUGCAAAUAUGCCUAUUUAUAUCUGUGUUUCCUGAAAAUAAGAUCAUUUUCCUUUAUAAACAUAGUAUAAUUAUAAAAAUCAAGAGAGUAACAUCAAUUUGAUAUUAUUAUCUAAUCUACAGACCUUAUUCAAAUGUUACUAACUACUCUACUAAUGUCUUUUAUAGCAGAAGAAAAAUAAUAGUUUUCUGCUUCAAGAUCCAAUCCAAGAUCACACAUUGCAUUUAGUUGUCAUGCCUGUUUAGUCUCCUUUAAAUUGGAAGAGUUCCUCAGUCUUUGUUUUUCUAUAGAUAAUAUUUUUAUAAAAUCACAAAUAUAAUAAUUCUAUUUAUACUUAUGUCCCUUAUCUUUUUCCCUUACCAAUCUAAUGUUACAUUUCAGUACAUAUGUAUUAUCUCAUUCCCUUCACCAACUACACAGUAAUGUAUCAGUCAGGAUGAUCUGGAUUUCGCCAUGAUAACAAAAAUACCAGAAGUGGCUUAAUGCUGCAAAUUCUUGUGCAUGUGACAUCUGUUUGUCCUCCUUAUGAAGGCGCAGUGCUCUGGCUGCUUCUGUCUCAUGACUCUCCCUCCUGGGAUGUGUUUCUACAAUUGCUGCACCAGAAGAGCUUGGGGAACUUCACGUGGACUCUUAAAAUCCUUUAAAAUUUUCAGACGACAAAACAAAUCACAUCAGCAUGCCCACCCUCAAAGGGGCAGAAAUAUAUUCCUUCCACCUACCCAGAAGGAAAAGGAAUCAAGAAAUACUGGCAAGACUGGAAAUGCAUCUUGUUGAUCCUUAAGGUACCGCUUCACACAGGACAGUUACCGCGCAGAUGUGUGUAAAAUGGGACAUCUGCAUCUAGUCCAAAUUGUGGCAUUGUUUCACAUCAAAUAGAAGUUGUGAACCUAAUAUGAAGCAAACUAAGUGUAAAGGUCCUCCUGCACGUUAAAGACACAACGUGAAGAAGCAUGUCCUUGAGUCAACAUAGAAUGAUCGAUGUCUAAGAGCUGGAAGAUGUUGAACCAGAACUCAUCCAAAAAAAGCUGAAAGGCAGAGACCAAGGAGAAGGAGGGAGCAUUUGGAGACUACUCAGUGAUACCAAAUCCUGGAAUCCACAGAAUGAGACAAGAGGGAGGAAUUUUAAGCAAUUUUUAACUCUUGAGACUGUCUGCUUCGUUUGUAUAUGGGUCUUCUGGGAUAGCUCACACCUCAGCAUACUCCAUGAGGCCAGGCAAUCUUCAGAGUGCUUUACAUGGAAUAUGUCGUUUCCCCCACAACCCUAUGAGUUUUUUCAGGGACCCUGAUGCUGGUUUAUGGAUCCCCCAUCUAAGGCUGGUGUGAUAGACAAAAUAAUGACCUCCCGAAGAUAUCUAUACCCAAGAAUCCAGAAUUUGUAAGUUUGUCCUCUUACAUGGCAAAAGGAACUUUGCAGAUGUCAUUAAAGCUAUGGACCUUAAAAUUGGGAGAUUAUUUUGGAUUAUCUGGGUGGGCUCAAUUUAAUCACAUGAGACCUUAAAAACGGAAGUGGAAGUCAGACACUGGGGCAGAGAGAUGAGACCAAAGAAAAAAGGAAGAGAAAUUUCAAGUAUGAUAGGGAUUCAACCCACUGCUGCUGGCUUUGAAGAUGAGGAAGGAAAUGGGGACCUUAGUCCUACCCCCACAGGGACCAGAGUUCUGCUAACAACCACAAAUAACCAAAAAAACAAAACAAAACAAAACAAAACAAAACAAAAAAACCACCCACACCCUGAUCUCCUCCUGAGCCUCUAAAAAGGAAUGCAACCCUGCUGAUGAUAACUUGAUUUAGUCCAGUGAGACUUGUGUCAGAUGUCUGAUGUCGAGGACUGCAAGAUAAUAAACAUUUGCCGUUUUAAGUCACCAAGCUUGUGGUAAUUUGUUGCAACAGCAAUAGGAAAUUAAUAGCUGGUUAGUUCCUUUAUUCAAGUUAACUAAAUUCCCCUAAUGCCUAGACAAGAAAGGAAAUGCACAAAAUUGUGUGACUCUAGUCCUUCUCUUACAUGGAGAGAAAAGCAAAAAUGUAUGAGGCGAAUCUGGAUUGUUCUCUGUGAUUUAAACCAUAUCCCAGGGGCAGUGGACACAAUACCACCCUAGUACGGGUCUAAAAGCCAUUGUUUGUCCAGAACUGGAUUAACUGGUGCCAAACCUAGAGACAUCAUCUCUCAGGGACUUAUUUUCUAUCUGUCUUCUGAGCAGGUGCCAUUAGAGGAGUGAAAGGGUGAAUCAGAGCGCACUUUUAUAUAUGAUGAAAGAUUUUGGAUUUAUGUGCAAUAGUAAUGACAUAUGGCAUUUGAUUUUAGAAUAGAAAUACUUUGCUAAAGAAAAGAAUAUUCCUAGGUUGAUUUAUUUGCAAUUAUGAGCAGUAAUUAUCUAAAAUUCAGCUUCCUGUUUGAUCAAUGGUAAUAAAAUGCUUUGUUUACAUUUUUAGCAGAAAAGGUUUAAGAAUAAGACAAAAGAGGGGCACCUGGGUGGCUGAGUGGUUAAGCGUCUGCCUUCGGCUCAGGGUGUGACCCCGGGGUCCUGGGGUCGAGUCCCACAUCGGGCUCCUUGCAGGGAGCCUGCUUCUCCCUCUGCCUAUGUCUCUGCCUCUUUCUGUGUGUCUCUCAUGAAUAAAUAAAGUCUUAUUUAAAAAAAGAGAUUAAGAAAAAUGAAAAAACAAAACAUAACUCAAAUGCAUUCAGUGAAACCCUGUAAUGUUCAUGUAUUAUUUCCUUGAACUCUCUUGCCUAAGUUGCACCCAGGCUGCAUUGCCCUCCCGUUGCCUGGCAAGUCAGUGUCUCGGGUUUUGUUCACUUUGUCUCUCCCUUCUUUGCAUCACACCUCCCGCCAUCCUCUGGCAGCAUGAGGGGCUGUGCCACCAGGGCUGUGUCUGCAGGGCCUGGGGGUCCCCUGACUGGGAAGCGGCUGCCUCAUUGGUGCCAGGCUCCGACAAAAGCCAGGGCCGCCGCCACGUGGGUUCGUUGGGGGGGUUAAUAGAGAGAGUACCUAGGAGGGUAUGCAUGUCUUCUUCCUGACAUAUGUGACAGAAUCAUGACUUCAGACAGUUCCGAAACUUUAACCCAAAGAGACAGGUUAUGGAGAGAGCACAGAUCCUCGGCAGAGUUUUCUUCUGGAGCCCGUGAACAGUACAGUAAUAACAUUUGCAUCAUCCCGGGUCAGUUGGGCUUCCGCCCUAGGAACUGCCGAAGUCAACCUGCUUCGGGCCAGCCUUGUCGGCAGCCUUCCCGGCAAUGACCUGGUUGUCCGGUUCUGGGUCUGCCGCCAGGAUACACCGUGUAGAUGCAGGUGAGUGAAUAGCCUGAGACGUAGGGCCAAGUUCUCAUCUUCUGCAUCACUUUCUCAUCAUGCAAGGGUCUACGCUUUGUAGACAUGACUGGAUGACCUAAAGGGCUCACACUCCCCACACUGAUUGUAUUUCUUAAAAGUAAGAAUUAUGUAAUAUUCUUCUAUCUCAAUUUUAGUAUCUAGCUGUGCUUUUUUUGUUUCUUAAAUUACCUAAGUCUGAUUUUGCAUUAAACACUCUUCUGAAAAUCUU